UACCCUUUGUGCCAAUCACUGUGAACACAUUGUAUAAAUGUGUCCGGCUUUGUAAAAAGCUGUAGUUCACCCAUAUUCAUAAGAAAGGGGAAAACGAGAACCCCUCAUUAAGACCCCUAGGGCUUAGGGUUUUUAAUCUAAAGAUCCAGAAGGAUUCUCGUUGUCUCAAGAAUUUGUCAUAAUUCCCCCUCCUAGGGCUUUUCUUCACAAGUUC